UGCCCGCCCCGGCCCCGGCCCCGCCGCCGGUGCCGCCGGCCCCCCCUCCGCCUCCGCCGCCACCGCCUCCACCGCCCCCCGCGCCGGCGGCGGCUCCCAGGGCGGAGGCGGGCGAGGCCGAGGCGUGGCUCUGCGGGCAGUCCGCCAGGUUGGCGAUCUGGAAGGCGCUGUCGGUGACGGCGGCCGAGGCCGCGGCGGGGAGUGCAGGGGCCGUCACUGACGAUGACCCCGGGUGGCAGGGACAGGCCGCCCAGCGCCGGGAUGGCCGAGAAGAUGCUCUACCUGAUAGUUCAGGAUAUUUCCAGCAUCUUUUCUGAUGUAGUGCUAUCGAUCAGAAACGCUCACUCGGGAGGCAGUCGUGGGGCUACGUCUAGUUUCCAGACUCCGCCCAACCUACCGAGUGCAAAAACUUCGUCUUCUCCCCACGUCGUGCACUAAAAGCGGGCUUAUGUAAACAAAUCCAGAUGAAGGGAGCGUAAAUCUACAGAAGGAACCUCACCCUCGGCUGCACUGGGGACCGGCGGGCGUCUUUCCGUCGGGGG